AGUGAACGCUGGCGGUAGGCCUAACACAUGCAAGUCGAACGGCAGCACAGUAAGAGCUUGCUCUUACGGGUGGCGAGUGGCGGACGGGUGAGGAAUACAUCGGAAUCUACUUUUUCGUGGGGGAUAACGUAGGGAAACUUACGCUAAUACCGCAUACGACCUACGGGUGAAAGCAGGGGAUCUUCGGACCUUGCGCGAUUGAAUGAGCCGAUGUCGGAUUAGCUAGUUGGCGGGGUAAAGGCCCACCAAGGCGACGAUCCGUAGCUGGUCUGAGAGGAUGAUCAGACACACUGGAACUGAGACACGGUCCAGACUCCUACGGGAGGCAGCAGUGGGGAAUAUUGGACAAUGGGCGCAAGCCUGAUCCAGCCAUACCGCGUGGGUGAAGAAGGCCUUCGGGUUGUAAAGCCCCUUUGUUGGGAAAGAAAAGCAGCAGGUUAAUACCCCGCUGUUCUGACGGUACCCAAAGAAUAAGCACCGGCUAACUUCGUG
rnacentral:rRNA from 1 species